GACGAACGCUGGCGGCGUGCCUAACACAUGCAAGUCGAGCGGAGAUAUUUAGCAAUAGAUAUCUUAGCGGCGGACGGGUGAGUAACGCGUGGGUAACCUGCCUUAUACAGGGGGAUAACACAGGGAAACUUGUGCUAAUACCGCAUAAUACAGACGAUUGGCAUCAAUUGACUGUCAAAGGAGCAAUCCGGUAUAAGAUGGACCCG
rnacentral:rRNA from 1 species